rnacentral:rRNA from 1 species
CGUGCCAGCAGCCGCGGUAAUACGGAGGAUCCAAGCGUUAUCCGGAAUCAUUGGGUUUAAAGGGUCCGUAGGCGGUUUAGUAAGUCAGUGGUGAAAGCCCAUCGCUCAACGGUGGAACGGCCGUUGAUACUGCUAGACUUGAAUUAUUAGGAAGGAACUAGAAUAUG